rnacentral:rRNA from 1 species
UACGUAGGGGGCUAGCGUUGUCCGGAAUCAUUGGGCGUAAAGAGCGUGUAGGCGGCCCGGUAAGUCCGCUGUAAAAGUCAAGGGCUCAACCUUUGAAUGUCAGUGGAUACUGCCGGGCUAGAGUCCGGAAGAGGCGAGUGGAACUCCUGGUGUAGCGGUGGAAUGCGUAGAUAUCGAGAGGAACACCUGCGGCGAAGGCGGGUAGCUGGGCCGACACUGACGCUGAGGCGCGAAAGCCAGGGGAGCGAACGGG